GGCGGGAGGGGCUCGGGGUUCGGGUUCUCCGGUCACCGCCACUUCUGCGGGCUCCGGCUCCGGGCGCCGCGAGGCCCGAGGGAACCCCCCGCGCUGGCGGUAGGCGCGCUGUGCCCCUCGUGCAUCCCAGGCUCCCGCUCUGCCUUCCGCUGCCCCCGACAUCCCUCCUGUCCCGGGAGGGCGGGGGGAGGCAGAGCUCCUCUCCCGUGCCGCCCACUCCUAAUCCAGGACAGGCUGCGCUCCCGCCGGCGCCUCCGUUGCCGUUCCGGGAGAAGUGAUGGGACAGGCUCCGCGUUGCAGGGUCCUGAAAAAAAACGGGCACUUGCCAAACUGCGGACCAGAUGUGACUGAGGAGACUCACUGCAGUAUCUCACAACUGGAAGUCAGAGGGACAAGGGUGCUUCUGAACAGGAGUACGUUGCCAGGGCAACAGAGUGUAAGCAGGAGCACAGCACCUUGCAGAUCACAAAGGCAAAGCUGCAGAAAGAAAUUUCAGCGAGUUUCUCUCUCCCUUUUGCAAUGGUUUCAUGGAACAACAAAAACUGCUUUGAGGCACAUUGCAGAAAUGGCUGGAAGCUGGAUUCAGGAAUGGGAGGUGGUUCUGCAGAGAGCGACAGGGACCAAACCCUUGGACCAGGCGUGGGGACAGUUACCUGCAAGAGAGGAGAAAAUUCUGCUUGGAGACCUGGGCGUGAGGCGCAUAACUCAUGGAUUUCCUGUGUCUCCAGAUAAGCAUUUACACCUGAGACAUCAGAGUCCAGGGAGUGAAGAGCAGCCUGGCUGCAGGGACAAGGGCAUGUGGCUCUGUUCAGAGUGAGCAGAAAAGCCAGGAAUGAAGAAGCAGCCUGUUGCUUUGGCAGUGUUUGAGGAAAGAUCUCCCUUUCCCAUGGCUUCAGAGAGUUGGAGACAAGGUCACGCUGGUCUGAGGAAAGCCAAAUAGCUUCUGGAAAUCCCAAAUCAGACUGACACUGCAAGAUCUGUCCAUCAUUCAAAUUUAGAUGAAGUCACCUUCCAUGUUGCUUUCACUGACAUUUAGGAUUUUUUUUUGUUUGAUAUUGGCUGGUUUCUGUGAAAUCCAACAGCUCUGCUCCUCUAAGUUCUAACCAAGAAAAUCUCCACUGUUUUUGUCCUCUGUGCAGAAUCUAAUUUCAUAGAAACUGAACAUUAAUUCAGAUAAAAUACGUAGAUACAGAAUCUCCUUAAAGCAGUCUUCUAUUAAGUCUGCAGGAAGGCAGCUGACUGCAACCAGACUGGGCCACAGAAAGAACUCUGGGACAAGGUGCACUUGCCAACUGCCAGACAGUGGACAAUAUUUCUAUUUUUUGUUGGCUUAGGAGACUGCAUUUUUGGCUCCUUAAAGCAAUUCUGGACAAGAAACUAUUUGCUGGAUCUUUUUAAUUUUUAAUUUUUUUUUCUGUUUUAAUCAUAAUAAAUUUUAAAAUGUAGAAAGUCAAAA